rfam:Rattus norvegicus chromosome 13, whole genome shotgun sequence.
GGGGAUUUAGCUCAGCGGUAGAGCGCUUGCCUAGGAAGCGCAAGGCCCUGGGUUCGGUCCCCAGCUCCA